rnacentral:lncRNA from 1 species
GAGGAGCACAAGUUAAUUAGAUAAAGGGGAGCAGGGCCGGGCGCGGUGGCUCACACCUGUAAUCCCACCACUUUAGGAGGCCGAGGCAGGCGGAUGACGAGGUCAGGAGAUCCAGACCAUCCUGGCUAACACGGUGAAACCCCGUCUCCACUAAAAAUACAAAAAACUAGCCGGGUGUGAUGGCAGGCGCCUGUUGUCCCAGCUACUCUGGAGGCUGAGGCAGGAGAAUUGCUUGAACCCAGGAGGCGGAGCUUGCAGUGAGCCGGAUCGCGCCACUGCACUCCAGCCUGGGCAACAAGAGCAAAACUCGGUCUCAAAAAAAAAGAAAAAAUGGGGAGCGGAAAUAAUAUGCCAUCCAAAAUGUACCAUCCAAGCAGCGGGAAGUGAGGCUGGAAAGGCGCAGUGGCCCGCACCUGUAAUACCAGCACUUUGGGAGGCCGAGUCAAGCAGAUCACCUGAGGUCAGGAGUUCGAGACCAGCCUGGCCAACAUGGUGAAACGCCAUCUCUACUAAAAAUACAAAAAAUUAGCCGGGCAUGGUGGUGGGUGCCUGUAAUUCCAGCUACUUGGGAGGUGAACACAGCAGAAUCGCUUGAACCCGGGAGGCCGAGAUCAUGCCACUGCAAUCCCAGCCUGGGCAACAGAGUGAGACUCUG